rnacentral:ncRNA from 1 species
GGUAGCCGCAAGGCAUCAAAGGGUAAUCCGGCAGAAGCCGGAGUGGUCUCGCCACUGUAAGGGGAGCCGCGCACAUGGACGCAGCGAUGCGUCUUUUGCCACUGUGAACACUCAUGGGAAGGCGUGCGUGGGCGAUGAACCUAAGCCAGUAAACCUGCCUAUCC